rnacentral:rRNA from 1 species
UACAGAGGGUGCAAGCGUUAAUCGGAAUUACUGGGCGUAAAGCGUGCGUAGACGGUUAUUUAAGUCGGGUGUGAAAGCCCCGGGCUCAACCUGGGAAUUGCAUUCGAGACUGAAUAGCUAGGGGUACGGUAGAGGGGAAGUGGAAUUUCUGGUGUGAGCGGUGAAAGUGACGUAGAUAUCAGGAGGAACACCGGUGGCGAAGGCGGUUCUCUGGGCGAUUGACCUGACGCUGGAGGAGCGAAAGCCGUAGGGGAGCAAACGGGG